UUGAUGUGACGUCUUCGUCUGCUCCCGGACACAUGACCAAAGCUGUCCGGCUUGGAUCCGGAGAUCACUUCUCUGACUGCUCGGCAAAAGCAGCUCCGUUCUUCACAUGGCCUUUUAAAGUCAUAAACACCUUUGCAAAAGAUGCAGCUUUGCCUGUAAAAAUGUGGAGUUCUGUUUUAGUACAGGAAUAGGUGACGAUUCUCACAGGGUAAGAAGCGGACUCGGGCACAGGUGGUCCACCGCACCGGUGACUUGGAGAACCUCUGCAGCUUCCCUGUAAGGCCCCUGUCCCAGGCCGGUCCGCUCGCAGUGUGUCACCCGUGUUUACCCACUACGGUGUAGAAAACGCCUUUCAGUCCCCGGCGUGUUACUGCAGCGCCUGUUAUCAUCGCAACCCGCCGCGAUCAGAUGUGCGCUGAAGGGAGACUCUGCCGAGAACGGAGCCGAAUUUCUCCGGUGUCUACGAGCGUGCAUAAUGUGCUUUUCUCCCGCCGCCCCGGUCAGACACGGAUCGCUGAUCCACUGAACUGAGCCCUAGAUUUCAGGACGGGCAGCCCUCGGCAAAAAAGUAACUUUCGUUUCUCCACCCCCCCGCCCACGCUUCCUGGCAGCUCGACUUCCGCUGUGGUGAGCGGCUCUGCCGUAAUUUGAAAUCUCAAGGCGGGCGGGAGAUUCGUCUUUGCAGGGUGGAGGGUGUUUGUGCGCCAUGGCGACUGCAGGCACCGACCCGCUGGACUUCUUCACCCAGGAUCAGAUGCUGGCCUUCUUCCACAGCAAGAAGACAGAGCUGUCCUGCCUGGAGCAGCCCCAGAGGCUGCUGAACCAGCUCAGGGACCACAACAUCAUCCCCGAGGAGCAGUACGAGGGACAUCAACACUCUCAGGCCCUCUUUAUUUAAAAACCCGGAGAUCACAGUCCAGGGUCCCAGUCCAGGAUGAGCCCCUACAGCCUGGAG